rnacentral:pre_miRNA from 1 species
GUAUUACUCCCUCCGUCCCAAAAUUCUUGUCUUAGAUUAGUCUAGAUACGGAUGUACCUAAUACUAAAACGUGACUUGAUACAUCCAUAUUUAGACAAAUCUAAGACAAGAAUUUUGAGACGGAGGGAGUAUGAG